rnacentral:rRNA from 1 species
AGAGUUUGAUCCUGGCUCAGGAUGAACGCUGGCGGUCUGCUUAACACAUGCAAGUCGAACGGGACUCUUCGGAGUUCAGUGGCGGACGGGUGAGUAACGCGUGAGAAUCUGCCUUCAGGUCGGGGACAACCACUGGAAACGGUGGCUAAUACCCGAUGUGCGCAACGUGAAAGAUUUAUCGCCUGAAGAGGAGCUCGCGUCUGAUUAGCUAGUUGGUGGGGUAAAAGCUCACCAAGGCGACGAUCAGUAGCUGGUCUGAGAGGAUGAUCAGCCACACUGGGACUGAGACACGGCCCAGACUCCUACGGGAGGCAGCAGUGGGGAAUUUUCCGCAAUGGGCGAAAGCCUGACGGAGCAAGACCGCGUGAGGGAGGAAGGCUCUUGGGUUGUAAACCUCUUUUCUCAGGGAAGAACAAAAUGACGGUACCUGAGGAAUCAGCCUCGGCUAACUCCGUGCCAGCAGCCGCGGUAAUACGGAGGAGGCAAGCGUUAUCCGGAAUUAUUGGGCGUAAAGCGUCCGCAGGUGGCACUUCAAGUCUGUCGUCAAAGACUGGGGCUUAACCCUGGAAAGGCGGUGGAAACUGAAGCGCUAGAGUGUGGUAGGGGUAGAGGGAAUUCCCGGUGUAGCGGUGAAAUGCGUAGAGAUCGGGAAGAACAUCGGUGGCGAAAGCGCUCUACUGGACCACAACUGACACUCAGGGACGAAAGCUAGGGGAGCGAAUGGGAUUAGAUACCCCUGUAGUCC